CCUGGAUGAGCAAGCAAACAAAGAGGAAUUAUAAAAAUAUAAUUUAAGAAAUAAUGUUUGCUCGUCAAACAGGAUGUUCGAUCAAAGCAGGAGAACAAGCAAACGAUUCCAAAAAUAGUCCGGUAUCAAACGUUACACGUUUCGUCCCAACGCUGUUUCUGUUCCGUUCGCACGAGAAUCCCAUGUAUCCGGGCCACUUUUUGCGAUCGUGACGUUAGAACGCGUGCCACUGACGCUAGAGAGAGAGAGAGAGAGAGAGAGAGAGAGAGAGAAAGGAUACCGGUAAAGCGAUAUCGCCGGACUAUAUCGACCGCGGUUGGUGUAAGUGGUUCGAGAGACACGAAUUCGCCCUUGGGAUUCCUGUGAGGCGUGGGUGAUCGGCUUUGUCGAGCGCCGAUCAGAGAACGAUUUAUUCCACUCCUUUCUUUUGUCGACCAUUCGAGAUUUCGAGAUUUCAUUGUGUCUUUUCCUCAAAAAGAGGAAAAAUGAAGUUUUUUAAAGGCGAUAAAGAAAGUUAUAAGUUGCGAGGAUAACAAUCUCAAUACGAUAACUACGUUUCCCCAUAUAAAGAAAAAAAUAACAUAAAAUUCAUCGAAUCGAUAUAUUUGUAUAUACACGAAUCUCGAAAUCUCGAAUAAUUAAAAUGUAUAAUUAAUUCGUAUUAUUUUUCGUUUUAAAUUUAUAUUAUCAGAUCACGUAUAAUAAUCUAUAAUUACAAAGACUAUCUCGUUUUCGUCUGAUCAUUCAUCUAAUUGCAUCCUUUUUAUCGUAGAUAAACUCGAUUAAAAAUCGAUUAAAUGACUCGAAUUAUCGAAAACCAAUUGGUUAUUCAAGUUUAUAUCGAAUGAUGACGUAUUUUUUUGCAAAAAAUAAAUAAUCAGAUCACUUUGGGAUACGAUUAAUUUCUAUAUUCGAAAAAACUAGAUAGUUAUCGUAUCCGUAUAGGUUUAAUGAUUGUCUCAACGAGCCGAAAUGAUUAUCUUGCGACACGAUAGAAAAUGCGGGCAAGGUUAUUCCUUUUCCAAUGCACGCCACAAUGGAUACGCGGAACCACAAUGAUCGGAUGUAUGUACGUAUGUAGCUCGAGAAGUAGGACACGUUCGAACAGGAUAGUUAGAGAUACUUUCGAAUAAUUUCUGGAUAUUUACACGAAAUAAUUUUAAAAGACAGUUGCAGCGAGAGAAAGAAAGAAA